UGAUAAUCUGAGUUACGUGGGGGCAAUGAAGAAAGAAAGACACCAGCCCUACGUGAAGUCUGCUGACUUUAAGCGACGACCUCAUCUCCCCUUCCCUUCCCACCGUGCCACACGAUGCCAUUCCGCCUAUGAAACUGAUCUGAGAGGUGGACUUUGCUCAGCUGCUGUCCUUCCCUGACAGGAGGCCUGCCUGCUCAUUGUCCUUCCGGGGUCACUUUAUCUUGGACAUGAAGAGAUGUCUGAAGCCUCAUCCUGCUGAAACGGGAAAACCUGUGCAUGUAUCACAUGAAGCGCAAUUCUCUUCUUGUUCUUUGUGUUUUGUGUGCAACCCAGUAUCCUCCCCUCGCAUUAAGAUGCGUUCAUUGCUGUGAAUUUCCCUACAUUUAUCUUGCCACAGACUUCAUUUUCGGCAAAGCAGAUUCCACACCAGCUUCCUUCUUUAUGCUUAGAGUCUUCUUUUAGUUCCUUCAUGUGCAUAUCUUACCAGCUCUUUAAUCUCCCGCCUCGUGGAAUAGAUCCAGUCUUUAAUCAUGACUUUUGGUUACUGUUUCUUCUCGCUUCUGUUGAUUUUUUCUCUCCUGCCCAUGUUCUCUUCAUCUGCUGUCUGCAUUCUGUGUGUUCCUAAGUAAAUGUGGAUACCUGGACGUGUUCCUUGUUUUCUGGUUUUAUUUUUUCAGUGAGUAUUUUCAACGAUGAUGUUUUCAAUCUUAUUUAGGGCAUCGCCACAGAAGCUAGCUCUGCAGACCAGCUCAGCAGCUCAGAGCAGUCUGGCUGCAGUAACCAUGAAGGCAUCUUGGGCGACCUGGUGAGGUGCAUAACCACUUGAGAAGCGGAGGCAGGGGUGUUUCCUUGAGCUUGAGGCCAGCCUGACUGAUGGGGUAUUUGGCCAGGUGGCCAGGGCUGUUCUGGAGUGUUUUGAAAGCCAGGCUGGCUGUGAGCUGGUGGUGAGCCUAUGCCGCUGUCCCAGAGCGACCUGCUUUGUGAUAUCCUUCACUGAUGGCUGAGACGCUGGCUGUGUCCUGGGCUUCAUUCCACAUAUACACCUGAUGUUCAAAAGUAUUUUCUGAAUUUGGAUAUGCAACAACAGAGCACAGUCAAUAACUGAAAAAAAAUGUGAUGUAUAAUGUAGGAUUCAUAAUCACAGCAUAAGUCACGAGGUGGUUAAAAAACACACAAUUCUAAAAACAAAACAAAACAAAAACAAAACCCUAACAUUGUAUUUAAAAUUUGUUAAAUAAUAGAUGUUUGGUAUUUUUAAUGUUGACAUUUUACUUACUAUUCAUUACAAGUAAAUUGGAAGCUGGAUUAAAUAUCUGUCACUUGCCCUGAUUUAUUCUCACUUAGUAUUGAGUAUUGCUGUGCAUGACAAAGACCACUUUCAUAUUGUGGCCUUCAAGUGGGAGAAACUUUGUACAUAAAAUUUCAAUGUGUAUUAUUAAUGCCGUGAGUAAUUACUUGAAAUGAAUUUUUAAAAUUGUAUUGUAUUUAUUUGUUACCUGUGUGUGUAUGGGUUGUGUGUGUGUGUGUGUGUGUGUGUGUGCAUGCACAAGUGUGGAACAGUGAACAACUUACUGAGGUUGAUUCUUUUCUUCCUCUGUGUAGUUCAGGGUUUAAACUCAUGCAUCAAGAUCCAUCUGUGACCAGGGGUGUGUGUGUGUGUGUGUGUAUCAAGAUCCAUCUGUGACCAGUGGGGUGUGUGUGUGUGUGUAUGUGUAUGUAUAUGUGUGUGUAUGUGUAUAUGUGUGUGUGUGUAUAUGUGUGUGUAUGUGUGUGUGUAUAUAACAAUCCCUGACCUAAGAAUCAGAAUUCUCAGUAAAUAUUUAUUUUGUAAAAAUGGUAAAAGUGUUACAAGAAAUCAUUUAACACUGGUGGGAAUUUUAAUUCUCUGGACAACUCUUGGAAAGCUGUAGACAGCAGACAGUGGGGUCCAGUCACUGAGAUCCUUUCCCAGAAGAGUCUGCAAGCAUUGGAGGUGAAGUGCAUCUUGGGAAAAAUCUGCCAGUGUUACUUGCUUCUCGUGAUGAGCUUUCUCUUCUCAGAUACCCCUGCCACACGUGAUGGAUGUCAUAGCUCCUUCUCAGGAGGAAACCGCUUCAGCGCCACAGCACUUGUGAAGCCUAUCUGCGGUCAUCGCUGAUAGAGUCACUUCCUAUGUGUUCAUUACGGUCUGUGACACCUCAGUUGUGCCCUGCGUAUUGGCUUGCAAAGACCAGGAUUUGGGCACAGGUUCUCGAAUCACAUCAACCCAGGACUACUCUCCGUGGCCAAGCAGGUUUCCACUUCAAGUGUAUACAUUCCGAUCAGUGUAUACGUAGCCAGAAGAUACAACCCUGUCUCUGGUUCUCUGUGCCGCCGUGUCUCCAGCUUGGAAGCUCCAAGGCUACACCGCACUGUUAACUCACAUCUUCCCACAGGCUGGAUGUUGGCAUCCCUUCCAACGUCAACAUGCUAAGUCACCGAUUCGUUACCAGAUAACUUGCGUCUGACUUCUCCUCGGGCUCACUAAACACCCCACAUUGGUGGUGCUUCACAUAGGAGAUUCUCUAAAGAGCCUCAUUCGAGGAGAGACAACGGAUGUGUCGCACGAGAAAAGAGGGCUUUCCCAGUCAGAAGGAACAUGAGCUUGUCCACAAACGCUGGAAUUUGAACUGGGGAGCAGCGCUGUGUUAAACCAUAACAAAGACUGCGGCAAAAGAAAAAUCAGGAAUACUGUUGCUAUCUUUAUUUUAACGUUUGAUCCAUUGCAGCCUGCACCCACCGGAUUUUAUCAGCGUGGUCCACUGAAGCAUCCAUCGCCUGGCUGCAUCGCUAAAGAAAAUGAGUAUCUGCCGCAGCAGGUGGCAAAACAUUAGGAAAAUAUAAGGAGGUGGGAGAUUUCUUAGGAAAAUAGAAAUUGUCAAAACUUAGUGGGGACACCUGGGGGCUCCCAGAGACUGAACCACCAGCCAAAGAACCUAUACCGCCUGGACUGAAGCCCCAUGCACAUAUGUAGCAAAUUCCUUGGUCUUCAGGGGGCUGGCCCUGACUCUGUUGCUUACCUGUGGCUCUUGGUCUCCUAACUGGGCUGCCUGGUCUGGCCUCAGUGGGAGAGGAUGUGCCUAGUCCUGCAGUAUCUUGAGGUGUCAGGGUGGAUUCCCGGAAAUGAAGGGAGUGGGGGGAUGGACUGUGUGAUGGGUGGGGGACUGAGAGAAGGGGUGGCUGCGGUUGGAGUGUCAAGUGAACAAAUACAGAAAACGGAAAAAAAAAUAUUUAGUGAGAAUAGAGGGGAAUAUGUUCUGACCAAACGGGACCCGAACUGGAUUCUGCCUUUUUUAAAAUCAACAUGCCCGUCUGGUAUCACAUUUGGUCCAAAACCUAGGUUAAUCAAAACCUAUGUUGAUAACUUCAGGCUUUUGAGAGUUCAGCUUUUAAAAGCUGCCCAUCUAUAUAGAAGAUUCCAAAGAGCUACAAAGAGAAUAAAGAAAUCCAAAUCACUAAGGAACUUGGACUGUCAUCUGAGUUAAGAAUCGAUCUCGCAGGUGCGGAUCCCACUGUGAUUAAAGGUCAGUGAUGGACCAUCCCCAGGACAGAACCUAUGACAGGGACAGGGAAUGCACAUUUAUGUCAAAUUCAACAUGGAGUCUGUGAAUGUUACACGAAUACUGACCAGGUACCUUUGAAACUCAGCAGCAAACAAAGCACUAGGUAAAAUUAAAUGGAAAAAAAAGACAGAGCCAGGCUAGAGACUAUUUGCCAAAACUAACAGCCACCAUCACAGGGAACACGGGGACAGCAGUCAGCGCCGUCGAACCGAGAGCUGGAAAUGGGAUCCAGACGAGCAGCUUUACUGUAAUUCGACAUCAGAGCUAUUCUUCUCCAUUAUGGUAAGAAGAUAAGAAAAUGAAAUAUUCGGCUUAAGCAUUAGACACAAAGGAACAAAAGGGCCUUUAUUUGAAGAUGACAUCAUAGUGUCCUUAAGAAGGCUGACAUUGUGCUAACGCUCAGCUAGGAAACGGGGUAAGAUGGUUAUACAUAACAUAAAUACACAAAGCCGGCUUCUUUUCUCCAUUUGAGAAACUAAUUAGAAAUGGAAAUGUCCAAAGUUAUUGAAUUGUGCUUUGUUCUGAGUAUAAGAAAGGCAUAAGCAAAAUUCUAAAACCCGGUCAGAGCUUGAGGGAUAAGGAUUGGUAAAAGAUACGUAGCAGAAACUCCUUCAGACUCAAGGAAUAAAUUCCUCUCACAUCAUAAAUGUAAAGCAAAGACAAUUCUGAAUUCCAGUGGGAUUUUCCCAGAACUUUACAAGAUAACUUUUAAAUUCUUAAGACGGGGAUACAGACGCUUGAAAGAAGUUAAGAUGGUGGCCAGGGCCUUCCCAAACUAGAUGCAAAAGUUCAAUAUGUAAAUGUUGUUAAUGCUGAUAAAGAAUGGACAGACUGGGGAGAUGGUUCAGUGGGUACAGUGCCUGCCAUGAAAUCACCAGGCCUGACCUCAGAUCCCUGGAAAUCACUUGAAAAUCUAGGUGGUGGGUAUUAAUAAUCCCAGUACUGCAAUAGCUGAGACACGCAGAUUCCUGGAACGACACAGCCAGAGAGUCUAAAGCAGCAGUUCUCAACCUGUGGGUCCCGUCCCCUGUCCCCAUGGGCUAUCUCCAGGAAUGUUUACAUUAUAAUCCAUAACAGUAUCAGAAUUACACUUAGGAAGUAGCAAUGAAUAUAACUUUAUGGUUGGGGAUCACCACAACACGAGGAACUGUCUUAAAGGAUCGCAGUGUCAGGAAGGUUGAGAACAACUGGUCUUGGGGAAUUGGUGAGGUUCACAUCCUAGUAAGAAGAGGCCGUCUCACAAAUUAAGGGCGUAAGUGACUUGAGGAGGACAUAUGAUGUGGACCUCUUGGUAAAUGUAAAUACACACACACACACACACACACAUACACACAGACAGACAAACAGGCAGGCAGGCAGACUAGUCAGUGGAAAAGAAUAGCAAUCUAAAAUGCAUAAUUUGCACAUACAUAGCAAACCUGUAUUCUGUUUCAAUGACUAGUCCACUCAAAUUACCUCUGCCUGUUCUGUGUGUGACGGGAGGAGACAAGCUAGUAUUGUGAUAUAUAUACAUACAUAUACACAUAUACACACAUACACAUAUAUACAUAUAUAUAAUAUAUGCAAUACAUAUAUAUAUAUGUAUAUAUAUAUACAUAUAUAUAUAUCCUGCAACAUGGCUCAGCUCAGUGGGUCAGUUGCUUUGUAGCUCAAGUCUGACCUAGAGUUUUAUCCUUGGUGUUCACAGUGGAAGGAAGGAACUGACGCCCCAGUGUUGCCCUCUGACCUCC